rnacentral:tRNA from 1 species
CGAGCAGAUAGGCGGCUCGGCCGCCCGUCUCCCAUACCGGCGGGACGAGCACGGCAUCGCGGUAUUGCGCGUUCGGCGCGUGCGGCGCGA